AUAAAUUGAUUCAUAAUAUAUUAAUAUUUCAAUUAGAAAUAUAAAUUGAAUUCACACUUUGUUUUAGGGAGGUGCCAAAUGGUCCCACUGGUUACUUAUUUACACUUACGUGUUAUCGGUUUCUCUAAUUUGAGUGGGAAAAAAAAAAUAAAGAUAAAAAUCAUGAGGUCGCUAAAGCUCACAAAAUUGUUAGUUGUCAUCUCAAUUAUUGUCCUCGUCUCAUCAACAGAGGCUGCCAAAGGUGGUGGACGCGGCGGCGGACGGGGUGGAGGCGGCCGCGGACGCAGGAGCGGUGGAGGGAUGCGCGGCAUAGGCGGACACGGUUAUGGCGGCGCGCGAGGAGCUGCUGCAGUUGGCGGCGGUCAUGGGACUCAUGGCGGGAGUCAUUCAUCUGCUUCCUCAAGGCUAUCGCUCAGUUGGAUUACAAGUUUAUUUUCGUACGCUGCAUUGGUUUUAUGUGUUCUUAAUUUCUAAUUCAUACCAUCAACUACUAAGAUUUGAAAUUUUACCUUGUAAGUCUUUUUUUUAUUUAUUUAUUUUAUGUCUCUGAAUUUUAUCCUUAUGUAUUUCAAUCUUGUUUUCUCAAUUUUAUUUUGAGAAUACAAGUCUGAAUUUUUUUUCUAAGAUAUUAAUAUAUGCUCACUUACAAUUAAUUUAGAGAAACAACUAACCAUUAUCAAAGAGAGCCACUUGUUUUCUCUCGAAUCCAUCCGUUUCUCUCUCCUCUUCUCCAGCCUUCUGUUUGCUCCAUCUUCAACCGCUCCUCAGUUUCGCCAUAGUUGGCUCUUCAUCCGGUGGAAAUUUUGUAUGUUGUAAUUUUAUUUUUCUUUUUGUCCCCUCACUAUGUGUACGGGCCCAGAUCUUGAUCUUGAUCCGCUCAGGCCCAGAUUCUGAUCCGGUGUGCGUAUGGCUUUAUCUACUGUUUUUAUAUGUUAUGGUAUGUUUGUUUUCUGGUUUUGCAGAUUC
rnacentral:lncRNA from 1 species